GGUUUUCGCACACGUAAGAGAAAAAAGAUUGCAUGGUGUGUGCUUUGAGGCCCUCUUCCAGGUGUAAAAUCUGAAUUCUUCAAUUUGAAAGCUUUCUAUGUGCUAGGAGGGAGGACAUGGUACCUGCUGCGGCGAGGAGACGGUUCAUGGAGCAGAACACACGUUCCUAAGGCCAGAAGCACACAGCACAAGAACACGCAUCUAAACAGCAAAGCGAAAGAGGUCAGGAAGCUGAAGCAGGACUAUGCAAGGAUUUGCCUUUUGGCGUGCUGGAGUUGUGCACUUCUUCCGUGGCGCCCGUGGCCCAUACAUCAGUCCUCAACUGAGG